UACGUAGGGGGCUAGCGUUGUCCGGAAUCAUUGGGCGUAAAGCGCGUGUAGGCGGUCCGGUAAGUCCGCUGUGAAAGUCGGGGGCUCAACCCUCGGAUGCCGGUGGAUACUGUCGGGCUUGAGUACGGAAGAGGCGAGUGGAAUUCCUGGUGUAGCGGUGAAAUGCGCAGAUAUCAGGAGGAACACCAAUUGCGAAGGCAGCUCGCUGGGACGUUACUGACGCUGAGUACGCGAAAGCGUGGGGAGCAAACAGG
rnacentral:rRNA from 1 species